UUCCUGCUUCAGCUCAGCACCAGAAGAAUCAACACCAGCGGAUUCUGACAGUUUCAAAGAUAAAGGCUGUAGUGGAAGAGGAUUAUGGAAGAAAUGUUUUGCUGUGGUGGCAUAAGAAAAAGGCAGGGGAAUUGGAACAGCAUAAUGAGAAGAGAGACCUUUCUGUUUUGGAUGAAUUUUACCAAAGAACACAGCUCAAAGACAAUUUCAUAUAAAUCUGCAAUUGACAACAAAAUAUGGCAUUUAUGUGCUCAACGCGCUUCUUAUACAUUAUCUCUGUUACCUUACAGCAGCCCUAAAGGUAUAUAAAGAAGAGGGGCGUCGCACUUGGAGUCGCCUUGAGGUCACCUGGAGAAGAAGAUCAGAAGAAGAUCAUGGAAGAUUCCUGUUCUUAUUGUUUUGUUUGGAUUAUGUUAUUCUUAAUGCUGGUCAGGUAUUAUUUUAUUGUUUAGAUUUUUAGAUUCUGUAUCAUUUCUGUAUCAUUUCUGUAUCAUUUUUGCU